CAGGAUGAGAGGAGGAUAAGGCUAAAGACAGAGGCUCCAGCUACCUUGGUGACAAGGAAUGGAGGAGAAAAGGAACAGGAAAUUUUAAUAAGAUUAGGAGGGCUUGCUUUUCUGCCAAGUGAGCCGCUUUCACAGGAGCGAUAAAUUGGAAAUGUUAUCUGGCUUGAUAUGCCAGUUUUUCUGAGAAAAUCACUCUGCCAGUGGUGACAGAAUGGAAGAGCUGAAAACAUCUUCUUUUUUCAAAGUCAUAUGUCACGAACCAAGGAGACUCCAAAAAAUAAAUUAUGGAAGAUUAUGACCACUGCUGCCAAGGAUACAGUGAAAUAGAUCCAUUAAAGAAUUGAGAUUGCAGGACACACUACCACCCUGAAAACUGGAGAGAGGAAAAAUACAGAGAGGAAGCAGAUCAGCUUACCUGAAGCAGAG
rnacentral:lncRNA from 1 species